UACAGGGGGUGCAAACGUUGCUCGGAAUCAUUGGGCGUAAAGCGCACGUAGGCGGUCUGUUAUGUCGGAUGUGAAAGCCCUUGGCUUAACUGAGGAAGUGCAUCCGAAACUGGCAGGCUAGAGUACUAAAGAGGGUCGCGGAAUUCCCGGUGUAGAGGUGAAAUUCGUAGAUAUCGGGAGGAAUACCAGUGGCGAAGGCGGCGACCUGGGCCAAUACUGACGCUGAGGUGCGAAAGCGUGGGGAGCAAACAGG
rnacentral:rRNA from 1 species